CAUUAGAUGGCUGAAAGAAAGUAAUGGUCUCUUAAACCAACUCAUAGUAAUUAACGACUACUUCUAAUGG
rnacentral:tRNA from 1 species